rnacentral:rRNA from 1 species
GAUGAACGCUGGCGGCGUGCCUAAUACAUGCAAGUCGAGCGAACAGACGAGGAGCUUGCUCCUCUGACGUUAGCGGCGGACGGGUGAGUAACACGUGGAUAACCUACCUAUAAGACUGGGAUAACUUCGGGAAACCGGAGCUAAUACCGGAUAAUAUAUUGAACCGCAUGGUUCAAUAGUGAAUGACGGUUUUGCUGUCACUUAUAGAUGGAUCCGCGCCGCAUUAGCUAGUUGGUAAGGUAACGGCUUACCAAGGCAACGAUGCGUAGCCGACCUGAGAGGGUGAUCGGCCACACUGGAACUGAGACACGGUCCAGACUCCUACGGGAGGCAGCAGUAGGGAAUCUUCCGCAAUGGGCGAAAGCCUGACGGAGCAACGUCGCGUGAGUGAUGAAGGUCUUCGGAUCGUAAAACUCUGUUAUUAGGGAAGAACAAAUGUGUAAGUAACUAUGCACGUCUUGACGGUACCUAAUCAGAAAGCCACGGCUAACUACGUG